rnacentral:rRNA from 1 species
ACGGGAGGCAGCAGUGAGGAAUAUUGGACAAUGGGCGCAAGCCUGAUCCAGCCAUGCCGCGUGCAGGAUCACGGUCCUAUGGAUUGUAAACUGCUUUUAUACGAGAAGAAACACUCCUUCGUGAAGGAGCUUGACGGUAUCGUAAGAAUAAGGAUCGGCUAACUCCGUGCCAGCAGCCGCGGUAAUACGGAGGAUCCAAGCGUUAUCCGGAAUCAUUGGGUUUAAAGGGUCCGUAGGCGGUUUAGUAAGUCAGUGGUGAAAGCCCAUCGCUCAACGGUGGAACGGCCAUUGAUACUGCUAAACUUGAAUUAUUAGGAAGUAACUAGAAUAUGUAGUGUAGCGGUGAAAUGCUUAGAGAUUACAUGGAAUACCAAUUGCGAAGGCAGGUUACUACUAAUGGAUUGACGCUGAUGGACGAAAGCGUGGGUAGCGAACAGGAUUAGAUACCC